UCAGGCGCCGCUGGGUCUCAGCUCCGCUCGGGGGCUCGCGCACAACCGGAAUUCGCCCGCGACCCGCUUCCGUUCUGCUUUGAGCUCUCCUGCUAACCCUGCUCCUGUUUUACAGUCCUCCACAGUCUGUGUAACUCUGACUACAGACAUUAGUUCAGCCCUGCAUGGGAGGCACUGCCAAGAGGCUCAACAGCAGUGGCCUUAGAGUUGUUGGGGCCCUGGGCAAGAGAGUCAUUUGGGGCCCCUUAGAGGUAUGUACUCAGGUAAAUAUUAACCCACCACAGUUGUCUUGUGGAUCUUGUUAAUGUUUUGGGGAGAAUUAGAUUAGUAGUUGAGUGUUUAAAAUGCAAGUAGAGCCACUUCCUUGCAAAAACUCCCCCCCAC